UGGAGCGGACGGAAGAGGGCUGGACGCCCAGAGGCGGUGGCCACGUACCCCCGCGUCUGCGCGGCUUCUUCGGGAAGAACGCCCGCAGCCCGGCGCCGUCGAGAGGUCUGACUAGAGACCGGCCCUCGACCCCUCAGGCACUCGCUCCAUCCUGGCCUGCGGGCCUACCCUGCUGCUCAAUCCGAGUGCGAGAAGCCUGCCCCUAGCUUUUUGUUUUGUUUUGUUUCCACUCGGUGCCAUUGCGCUUUCUGCAAGACCACCUAAAUGCGAGAUCGAGUUGACUGCCUCGGCAGCCCCUGUAGCCAGGCACUGUGGCAUGAGUUCACCGUACAGCCAUACAACAGUGAAACUUAUUUAAGAAAUGGUCUCGUGUAACCCUGGCCGCCCUGGAACUGACCUCGAACUCAGAUGAUCGCCAUCUGAGUCUGCCCCCAGAAAUUAAAGGUGUAAGCCACCACCACUGAAAAAAAAAAAAAAAAAAAAAAGUAAAUAGAAUUAGACCCUGUCUCAAAAAACAAAGUUGUCUUAAGCAACCUAGUCACCAGAAUGCCGUCAGCCCCCCAAGUCAAAGAGAGUAGCAGCCACAGAGGAUUCAUAGCGGCUGAGGAAGGAAUGAAGUCCAGGCAUUUUAAUUUUUUUUUUUUCCUGGAACAAAGAUUGUGUGUCCUGAAAACCAUUCUCCAAUGACUCCCGCACAGCUUUAAAAGCCCAGCUUUUCUGGAGGAAACAGCCUCCAACAAGGAAGAGGUCAGGCAAGCUGGU